ensembl:lncRNA
CUUUAAACCUCACAGAAGCAGAAGCAGAAGAAGAAGAAUGCACCUGUUCUUUUGUGAUUGCUGCCCUGCCCACUAUUUAACUGGAAGGAGAACUAUUCCACACAAUUGUUUAUUCUUUUUCUUUGGUUGUUUUUUCCCAAAUCUUGGGGGACAAUUGUUGUUGCAACAUGGUUUGGUUUCUGAUUCUCAUCUGGUUUGUCCAAGUGGGCGGUGUUCCCAUCACCAAUUUCACAAAUGCUACUACUUCAAAUGCUACUUUCCCUGCCACAGUGGACAAUUCUACAAAUGUGACUUUCACUGCCACAGGUUCUACUGCCUCAAUGGGGCCACAUCACAGACAAAAUGAUUGGGUUAAAAUGGCUGAAACCAGAGAAGGUAACACAUUCAUUAGAUGAAGUGCACUAUCCUGGACCUCUCAUGAGGUUUGGACUUUAUUAAUGGCACUGGAGGUAGUGACUUGUAACCAGGUCAUGUCAGUGUGGUUGUUUCACACCCUCUGUCCCUGUUACAGAGGAC